CAGUAGUCACGUAGUUGACUCCUGGCUACAGAACGACGCUGGCGGCAUGCCUAACACAUGCAAGUCGAACGAGACCUUCGGGUCUAGUGGCGCACGGGUGCGUAACGCGUGGGAACCUGCCUUUAGGUUCGGAAUAACUCAGAGAAAUUUGAGCUAAUACCGGAUAAUGUCUUCGGACCAAAGAUUUAUCGCCUUUAGAUGGGCCCGCGUUGGAUUAGCUAGUUGGUGGGGUAAAGGCCUACCAAGGCGACGAUCCAUAGCUGGUCUGAGAGGAUGAUCAGCCACACUGGGACUGAGACACGGCCCAAACUCCUACGGGAGGCAGCAGUGGGGAAUAUUGGACAAUGGGCGAAAGCCUGAUCCAGCAAUGCCGCGUGAGUGAUGAAGGCCUUAGGGUUGUAAAGCUCUUUUACCCGAGAUGAUAAUGACAGUAUCGGGAGAAUAAGCUCCGGCUAACUCCGUG
rnacentral:rRNA from 1 species